rnacentral:rRNA from 1 species
AGAGCGAACGCUGGCGGCAGGCCUAACACAUGCAAGUCGAGCGCCGUAGCAAUACGGAGCGGCAGACGGGAGAGUAACACGUGGGAACGUGCCCUUUGGUUCGGAACAACACAGGGAAACUUGUGCUAAUACCGGAUAAGCCCUUACGGGGAAAGAUUUAUCGCCAAAGGAUCGGCCCGCGUCUGAUUAGCUAGUUGGUGAGGUAACGGCUCACCAAGGCGACGAUCAGUAGCUGGUCUGAGAGGAUGAUCAGCCUCACUGGGACUGAGACACGGCCCAGACUCCUACGGGAGGCAGCAGUGGGAAUAUUGGACAAUGGGCGCAAGCCUGAUCCAGCCAUGCCGCGUGGAUGAUGAAGGCCCUAGGGUUGUAAAGUCCUUUCGGCGGGGAAGAUAAUGACGGUACCCGCAGAAGAAGCCCCGGCUAACUUCGCGCCAGCAGCCGC